rnacentral:miRNA from 1 species
GGUUUCUCUAUGUAGCCCUGGCUAUCCUGGAACUCACUCUGUAGACCAGGCUGGCCUCGAACUCAGAAAUCCCGAGUGCUGGGAUUAAAGGCGUGUGCCACCACUGCCUG